CCCGAGUUGUAAUUUGUAGAGGAUGCUUCUGGGUAGCGGCCGGUCUAAGUUCCUUGGAACAGGACGUCAUAGAGGGUGAGAAUCCCGUAUGUGACUGGCUUGCACCCUCCACGUAGCUCCUUCGACGAGUCGAGUUGUUUGGGAAUGCAGCUCUAAAUGGGAGGUAAAUUUCUUCUAAAGCUAAAUACCGGCCAGAGACCGAUAGCGCACAAGUAGAGUGAUCGAAAGAUGAAAAGCACUUUGGAAAGAGAGUUAAAAAGCACGUGAAAUUGUUGAAAGGGAAGCGCCCGCAACCAGACUUUGCGGCAGUGUUCGGCCGGUCUUCUGACCGGUUUACUCGCUGUCGUGAGGCCAUCAUCGUCUGGGACCGCUGGAUAAGACCUUAGGAAUGUAGCUUCCCUCGGGAAGUGUUAUAGCCUCUGGUGAUGCAGCGCGUCUCGGGCGAGGUCCGCGCUUCGGCAAGGAUGAUGGCGUAAUGGUUGUCGGCGGCCCGUCUUGAAACACGGACCAAGGAGUCUAACAUCUAUGCGAGUGUUCGGGUGUCAAACCCCUACGCGUAAUGAAAGUGAACGGAGGUGGGAACUUUUUGUGCACCAUCGACCGAUCCUGAUGUCCUCGGAUGGAUUUGAGUAAGAGC
rnacentral:rRNA from 1 species